rnacentral:rRNA from 1 species
CAUAUACGACCGUACCGCAAACCGACACUGGUGCGCGAGAUGAGUAUUCUAAGGCGCUUGAGAGAACUCAGGAGAAGGAACUCGGCAAAUUGACACCGUAACUUCGGAAGAAGGUGUGCCCUAUUAGUGUGUAGUGAACAACGAAGCAUGAAUGGGUUGCAAAAAAUCGGUGGCUGCGACUGUUUAUUAAAAACACAGCACUCUGCAAACACGAAAGUGGACGUAUAGGGUGUGACGCCUGCCCGGUGCUGGAAGAUUGAAUGAUGGGGUGCAAGCUCUUGAUUGAAGUCCCAGUAAACGGCGGCCGUAACGAUAACGGUCCUAAGGUAGCGAAAUUCCUUGUCGGGUAAGUUCCGACCUGCACGAAUGGCGUAACGAUGGCCACACUGUCUCCUCCUGAGACUCAGCGAAGUUGAAAUGUUUGUGAUGAUGCAAUCUCCCCGCGGAAAGACGGAAAGACCCCAUGAACCUUUACUGUAGCUUUGUAUUGGACUUUGAACAGAUCUGUGUAGGAUAGGUGGGAGGCUUUGAAGCAGGGUCGCUAGAUCUUGUGGAGCCAACGUUGAAAUACCACCCUGGUGUGUUUGAGGUUCUAACCUAGGUCCAUUAUCUGGAUCGGGGACAGUGCAUGGUAGGCAGUUUGACUGGGGCGGUCUCCUCCCAAAGCGUAACGGAGGAGUUCGAAGGUACGCUAGUUACGGUCGGACAUCGUGACGAUAGUGCAAUGGCAUAAGCGUGCUUAACUGCGAGACUGACAAGUCGAGCAGAUGCGAAAGCAGGACAUAGUGAUCCGGUGGUUCUGUAUGGAAGGGCCAUCGCUCAACGGAUAAAAGGUACUCUGGGGAUAACAGGCUGAUACCGCCCAAGAGUUCAUAUCGACGGCGGUGUUUGGCACCUCGAUGUCGGCUCAUCUCAUCCUGGGGCUGUAGCCGGUCCCAAGGGUAUGGCUGUUCGCCAUUUAAAGAGGUACGUGAGCUGGGUUUAAAACGUCGUGAGACAGUUUGGUCCCUAUCUUCCGUGGGCGCUGCAGAUUUGAGGAAGCCUGCUCCUAGUACGAGAGGACCGGAGUGGACACACCUCUGGUGUAUCGGUUGUCACGCCAGUGGCAUUGCCGAGUAGCUAAGUGUGGAAGAGAUAACCGCUGAAAGCAUCUAAGCGGGAAACUCGUUUCAAGAUGAGAUCUGCCGGGGCCUUGAGCCCCCUAAAGAGUCGUUCAAGACCAGGACGUUGAUAGGUCAGGUGUGGAAGCGG